rnacentral:rRNA from 1 species
ACGAACGCUGGCGGCGCGCCUAACACAUGCAAGUCGAACGGAGCUGAGAGGAGCUUGCUUUUCUUAGCUUAGUGGCGAACGGGUGAGUAACGCGUGAGUAACCUGCCCUGGAGUGGGGGACAACAGUUGGAAACGACUGCUAAUACCGCAUAAGCCCACGGUGCUGCAUGGCACAGCGGGAAAAGGAUUUAUUCGCUCUAGGAUGGACUCGCGUCCAAUUAGCUAGUUGGUGAGGUAACGGCCCACCAAGGCGACGAUUGGUAGCCGGACUGAGAGGUUGAACGGCCACAUUGGGACUGAGACACGGCCCAGACUCCUACGGGAGGCAGCAGUGGGGGAUAUUGCACAAUGGGGGAAACCCUGAUGCAGCGACGCCGCGUGGAGGAAGAAGGUUUUCGGAUUGUAAACUCCUGUCGUUAGGGACGAUAAUGACGGUACCUAACAAGAAAGCACCGGCUAACUACGUGCCAGCAGCCGCGGUAAAACGUAGGGUGCAAGCGUUGUCCGGAAUUACUGGGUGUAAAGGGAGCGCAGGCGGACCGGCAAGUUGGAAGUGAAAACCAUGGGCUCAACCCGUGAAUUGCUUUCAAAACUGCUGGCCUUGAGUAGUGCAGAGGUAGGUGGAAUUCCCGGUGUAGCGGUGGAAUGCGUAGAUAUCGGGAGGAACACCAGUGGCGAAGGCGACCUACUGGGCACCAACUGACGCUGAGGCUCGAAAGCAUGGGUAGCAAACAGGAUUAGAUACCCUGGUAGUCCAUGCCGUAAACGAUGAUUACUAGGUGUUGGAGGAUUAACCCCUUCAGUGCCGCAGUUAACACAAUAAGUAAUCCACCUGGGGAGUACGACCGCAAGGUUGAAACUCAAAGGAAUUGACGGGGGCCCGCACAAGCAGUGGAGUAUGUGGUUUAAUUCGAAGCAACGCGAAGAACCUUACCAGGUCUUGACAUCCGAUGCAUAGCUUAGAGAUAAGUGAAGUCCUUCGGGACAUCGAGACAGGUGGUGCAUGGUUGUCGUCAGCUCGUGUCGUGAGAUGUUGGGUUAAGUCCCGCAACGAGCGCAACCCUUAUUGUUAGUUGCCAUCAUUAAGUUGGGCACUCUAGCGAGACUGCCGGUAAUAAACCGGAGGAAGGUGGGGAUGACGUCAAAUCAUCAUGCCCCUUAUGACCUGGGCUACACACGUACUACAAUGGCGUUUAACAAAGAGAAGCAAGACCGCGAGGUGGAGCAAAACUCAGAAACAACGUCUCAGUUCAGAUUGCAGGCUGCAACUCGCCUGCAUGAAGUCGGAAUUGCUAGUAAUCGCGGAUCAGCAUGCCGCGGUGAAUACGUUCCCGGGCCUUGUACACACCGCCCGUCACACCACGAGAGUUUGUAACACCCGAAGUCGGUGAGGUAACCUUUUAGGGGCCAGCCGCCUAAGGUGGGAUGGAUGAUUGGGGUG